CAGUAGCCACGGGAAUACGAAGGGUGCAAGCGUUAAUCGGAAUUACUGGGCGUAAAGCGUGCGUAGGCGGUGAGUUAAGUCUGCUGUGAAAUCCCCGGGCUCAACCUGGGAAUGGCAGUGGAUACUGGCUCGCUAGAGUGUGUCAGAGGAUGGUGGAAUUCCCGGUGUAGCGGUGAAAUGCGUAGAGAUCGGGAGGAACAUCAGUGGCGAAGGCGGCCAUCUGGGACAACACUGACGCUGAGGCACGAAAGUGUGGGGAGCAAACAGGAUUAGAUACCCCCGUAGUCCCUGUCUCUUAUAC
rnacentral:rRNA from 1 species